AAAGAAAAACUAGGGUUACUUUAAUGAAGAUACGAGUGAUUUCUUGGAAUACCUAAGACAGAAUUCACAGAUUGCCCACCAGGAAAUGACAGGGGCAGACAGCUAGAAAGUAAUGGAAGAAACUGUAUCUACUUCAAAAAGGCGAUUUGUCAGGAAGGAGGAAGAUUAAAAAGACAAGUGGCGGGACAAAUUCCAUAAUGUACGUCUCUGCCCAGCUGCUUUUGAGAAUCAAGACAGGCCACCAGGAAAGUUAUGGUGUGGAUGUCAGAGCACAAAAUAAACAAGUGCCUGGCCAAAGAUGACCCAGCUUUCAGCAAAUUUCCUUUUGCAGUAUUUCUUUUGUGGAGCUGUGACGCACCCACCCAGGUCUUGUCCUGAUAAUUUUAAGAGACAUUGUACUGAUGGUGGCUGCUGCACCUGCUGUGGCUCUGUAGAGUGUUUUAUGAAGAACUGCUCUAAAAAGCCAAAUUCAAGUCAAGUAGUAACAGUUGCUAGUCCAAGAGAAUGAGUGCAAAUUGUGACGAUAUUUAGGAUACUCCUAAACCACAGAAAUCCAAUACAGAGAUGGCUAAG
rnacentral:lncRNA from 1 species